ensembl:miRNA mir125b-1 microRNA 125b-1
UUCUGUUGCAGGUUGGCGGUUGGUCUGCAAAUGUGCCUCUCACAAUCCCUGAGACCCUAACUUGUGACGUUUUCCUGUUAUGUGCACGGGUUAGGUUCUUGGGAGCUGAGAGGGGUGCUCUGUCAUCAGCCCGCCGGCGUCGGAA